AUGAUGAACGCUAGCUACAGGCUUAACACAUGCAAGUCGAGGGGCAGCAUUUUAGUUUGCUUGCAAACUGAAGAUGGCGACCGGCGCACGGGUGAGUAACACGUAUCCAACCUGCCGAUAACUCCGGGAUAGCCUUUCGAAAGAAAGAUUAAUACCGGAUAGCAUACGAAUAUCGCAUGAUAUUUUUAUUAAAGAAUUUCGGUUAUCGGUGGGGAUGCGUUCCAUUAGUUUGUUGGCGGGGUAACGGCCCACCAAGACUACGAUGGAUAGGGGUUCUGAGAGGAAGGUCCCCCACAUUGGAACUGAGACACGGUCCAAACUCCUACGGGAGGCAGCAGUGAGGAAUAUUGGUCAAUGGGCGCGAGCCUGAACCAGCCAAGUAGCGUGAAGGAUGAAGGCUCUAUGGGUCGUAAACUUCUUUUAUAUGGGAAUAAAGUUUUCCACGUGUGGAAUUUUGUAUGUACCAUAUGAAUAAGGAUCGGCUAACUCCGUGCCAGCAGCCGCGGUAAUACGGAGGAUCCGAGCGUUAUCCGGAUUUAUUGGGUUUAAAGGGAGCGUAGGUGGAUUGUUAAGUCAGUUGUGAAAGUUUGCGGCUCAACCGUAAAAUUGCAGUUGAAACUGGCAGUCUUGAGUACAGUAGAGGUGGGCGGAAUUCGUGGUGUAGCGGUGAAAUGCUUAGAUAUCACGAAGAACUCCGAUUGCGAAGGCAGCUCACUAGACUGUCACUGACACUGAUGCUCGAAAGUGUGGGUAUCAAACAGGAUUAGAUACCCUGGUAGUCCACACAGUAAACGAUGAAUACUCGCUGUUUGCGAUAUACAGUAAGCGGCCAAGCGAAAGCAUUAAGUAUUCCACCUGGGGAGUACGCCGGCAACGGUGAAACUCAAAGGAAUUGACGGGGGCCCGCACAAGCGGAGGAACAUGUGGUUUAAUUCGAUGAUACGCGAGGAACCUUACCCGGGCUUAAAUUGCAACAGAAUAUAUUGGAAACAGUAUAGCCGUAAGGCUGUUGUGAAGGUGCUGCAUGGUUGUCGUCAGCUCGUGCCGUGAGGUGUCGGCUUAAGUGCCAUAACGAGCGCAACCCUUAUCUUUAGUUACUAACAGGUCAUGCUGAGGACUCUAGAGAGACUGCCGUCGUAAGAUGUGAGGAAGGUGGGGAUGACGUCAAAUCAGCACGGCCCUUACGUCCGGGGCUACACACGUGUUACAAUGGGGGGUACAGAAGGCGGCUACCUGGUGACAGGAUGCUAAUCCCAAAAACCUCUCUCAGUUCGGAUCGAAGUCUGCAACCCGACUUCGUGAAGCUGGAUUCGCUAGUAAUCGCGCAUCAGCCAUGGCGCGGUGAAUACGUUCCCGGGCCUUGUACACACCGCCCGUCAAGCCAUGAAAGCCGGGGGUACCUGAAGUACGUAACCGCAAGGAGCGUCCUAGGGUAAAACUGAU
rnacentral:rRNA from 1 species